GAAGGAAGCAGCGGUAGCGAAGGCGAUGAAUGUGCGAU
rnacentral:SRP_RNA from 14 species